AUAUAAUCAUUGUUUAAAUGUUUUUAGAUGUAGAUCUAUAUGGAUAUACAUGUAUAUAGACUUUUAAAUGGAUGCAAGCUUUGCUUUUAGAAAUACAAACUAUAAGCUAAUUAUGUCUAUUAUUUAGGUAGCUGUAUAAUAUUUGUAUGGAAUAAGAAGUAAACGUUACGGUACUUAGGUCAUGUGAGAUAAAUGAUCUUAUUCUUUUUUUAACUCCUAUAACCGAAAUCAAAACACACACAAAAAAAACGACAUUAGACACGACACGAUUAUUUAUUGGUUAGCUCUAUCUUGUUGUAUGUGUUAUUAGAUCGGCGAGUUAAGGAAUGUAAACAGACUGAAAGCCUAAGCUUUACAUUAGGGAAUGCAAUGUAUUGAAAGAUUUAAAUGUCAAAGCGCACAGAUGAAUACUUUUAAAGAGGCGAAGAAAAGAUACGUCGUAAUCGAUUUCCAAUCCAUUUAACAAAUGACAGGCAUUUGAGUGGCAAUAAAAGUAGACUAUGACUUUCGGUUUUAGUCUUGUGUGAAGUGUUGACUAGAGAAAGUGGAUCGAUUCUAUCAUAGCAUCGAUGUUAUUUGAAAACUGGUUUAACACUGUUUAAGAAAGAUGACAUCUUUUUUCACACUAUACAUCACCAAGUGUUUACUAUAAUUGAGGAGAUCAAGCGAAGAAUGAGUGUGUCUAAUAAGGAGCUCCAGAGGCAUAAACUAAUAGCUCAACCCGAGUGGAAAACACGCUAUGAAAACAAGGCCUGUCACAGGCGUCUCUUUCUUUACUUGGACACAUUGAGUCGACGGUCUGAGAGGGUGGCUGCCAGAAUGACUCAUGACAUACGGAGAGCCAAUGUGAACAUCUUGCACAAAGAUGAAGACAGAAAAUCUCGAGUCGGAUUCCCUCUGCUAAAAAUAACUGCUUCCGGGAAAAGAAAGCAUGGCGGGAAAGGUGCACACUAUCCAUCAGAACAACAGCCAAGGUCAUUCAAACUCUCUUUCAUUGACACGGAGAAGUCGACGGAGAGUAAAACAUCACAAAUAAAUGACGUCAUUUCAUGCCAGUACGGGCGAGCCUGCCAGUCGUGCCCCUAUUUUCCCUGCCGGCGUCCCCAGACGUACCACAGCCUCGGCUUUCGUCCCGACAACUGCUCCACUUUUGAGUGGAUCACUUGGUCUGAUCUGCAAAAGCGUCAAAAUCUGUGAACACUCAAAGAUCCAUUUUAACACGUUGCAUUUGAUAAGAAUCUGUUCCUUACAUUCAACCCAUACAUACUUUCGGCAUGGGGAAAGUAGAGCGGCCCACACAUUUCUAGCCUAAUUGGUGUCUUCGGUUAAAUCGCGAUUAAGGUACAUCGAUCUUUGCGUCACAGACAGAACAUCUGUUGCCAAAGACCGAUGUAUUAUUAUUUCAUUGUUGAACAUUCACAUCAAAUUUAGGAUGUGUUUCCUAACUGUAUUAAUUGUCUUUACAUCAGGUACUAAUGUCAUUUCAAAGCGAUCAGUCUUGGCAGUGUGACGUAGCAAGGUGACAUCUUGAUUUUUGUAGGAAGACUGAACACGUCAUAAAUAAAGAUAUUCCAAAAGAGA